rnacentral:snoRNA from 1 species
UCCCUCCAGAUUCCUUAUCCCUCAAACCUAAAUGGAGGUCUGAGUGAGGAAGAAAAAGGAGGAAAAGUAAAACUGAAAUGGACUUGGAGUCUUUAGUGACAAACACGUUCAUUUCAAAACUAA